AGAUUGAACGCUGGCGGCAGGCCUAACACAUGCAAGUCGAGCGGCAGCACGGGUACUUGUACCUGGUGGCGAGCGGCGGACGGGUGAGUAAUGCCUAGGAAUCUGCCUGAUAGUGGGGGAUAACGUUCGGAAACGGACGCUAAUACCGCAUACGUCCUACGGGGGAAAGUGGGGGAUCUUCGGACCUCACGCUAUCAGAUGAGCCUAGGUCGGAUUAGCUAGUGGUAGGUAAAGCCUACC
rnacentral:rRNA from 1 species